rnacentral:rRNA from 1 species
GACGAACGCUGGCGGCGUGCUUAACACAUGCAAGUCGAACGGUAAGGCCCUUCGGGGUACACGGGUGGCGAACGGGUGAGUAACACGUGGGUGAUCUGCCCUGCACUUCGGGAUAAGCCCGGGAAACUGGGUCUAAUACCGGAUAGGACCACUGCCUGCAUGGGUGGUGGUGGAAAGCUUUUGCGGUGUGGGAUGGGCCCGCGGCCUAUCAGCUUGUUGGUGGGGUGAUGGCCUACCAAGGCGACGACGGGUAGCCGGCCUGAGAGGGUGACCGGCCACACUGGGACUGAGAUACGGCCCAGACUCCUACGGGAGGCAGCAGUGGGGAAUAUUGCACAAUGGGCGCAAGCCUGAUGCAGCGACGCCGCGUGAGGGAUGACGGCCUUCGGGUUGUAAACCUCUUUCAGCACCGACGAAGCGCAAGUGACGGUAGGUGCAGAAGAAGGACCGGCCAACUACGUGCCAGCAGCCGCAGUAA